rnacentral:rRNA from 1 species
UACGGAGGGAGCUAGCGUUGUUCGGAAUUACUGGGCGUAAAGCGUGCGUAGACGGUUACAUAAGUCGGGUGUGAAAGCCCCGGGCUCAACCUGGGAAUUGCAUUCGAGACUGCGUAGCUAGGGUGCGGAAGAGGGAAGCGGAAUUUCCGGUGUAGCGGUGAAAUGCGUAGAUAUCGGAAGGAACACCAGUGGCGAAAGCGGCUUCCUGGUCCAGCACCGACGUCAGGCACGAAAGCGUGGGGAGCAAACAGG